CUCUCUCUCUCUCUCUCUCUCUCUCUCUCUCUCUGUGUGACUAUCAUAAAUUAAAAAAAUUAAAAAAAAAAAAGAAAAUGUUUUUCUUAAAAAACAUGUUUUUCAGGACGCAUGGGUGACUCAGUGGUUGUGUCUGUCUUCAUCCCAGGGUGUGAUCCUAGAGUCCUGGGAUCGAGUCCCACAUUGGGCUCCCUGCAUGGAGCCUGCUUCUCCCUCUGCCUGUGUCUCUGCCUCUCUCUCACUCUCUCUGUCUCUCAUGAAUAAAUAAUAAAAUCUUUAAAAAAAAAAACAAACAAACCUGGUUUUCUUUCUGUAAUCUUCCUCAGAUAUAUUUGGGAGGGGAAGGAGGAUUAUAUUAAGUACAAUACAGAUUGCAGCCUGAAUCAGUAUAAAUUGCAGCAAUUUUUCCAGAGAGCUCUUCUCCCUCUCAGCUUGGCCUUGAGCCUCUGCUCACAUUCCUAUAAUUCCUCAUUAAAUGUUGCUCUCUGACAGGAAGAGUGAUUCCCUUAAAAUCCCCAAACCAUACUUUGGACAUAUGACCUUACCUUUACACCUUUACUAAAGGAUUGUAAAUGACAAAGUAAAAUUUUAGAACCCAAGAGAACUAAAACCAUAUGCUACAUAUGACUUUCUAAAGUCCUAGACAAAGAACAAAACAUUAAACAUAUGGGGACUGGGAGUUAGUACCCUUCAUAGACACAGAACAGUAUCUGGUUUUCCUAUUGAAAGCUUACUUCUAUGCUACUUCUCAAUGAAGAAUUUUUCUUUAUUUAUUAAAAAUAUUCAUUUGUGUAUUUUAAAGAGAGAGAGAGAGAGAGCACAGGGGGAGGAGCAGAGGGAGAGGGAGAAAGAGUCUCAAGCAGGUUCUACACCCAGCCCAAAGCCUGACAUGGGGCUUGAUCUCAGGACCUGAGAUCAUAACCUGAGCCAAAAAUCAAGAGUUGGUCGCUUAACUGACAGCCACCCAGGCGACCCUGAAGGGGUUUUCUUUAAUCCCUAAUGUAAAAAAAACUCCAUUUCGGGGAAUUCUAACCUCAAAGAAAUUUAUUUCACCCUAGGAUCUACAGCCCACCCACCGCCAAAUCCCAACCCAUCCAUCCCCAAAAAGGCAGUUCACAGGACACAAUUACAAACAUUUCCCUGAGUCUGAAUUUUUCAGUGAGAGGCAAUUAAGCAAAACUAUCUUGUUUGACACAUCACACAUCAAGUUGGCCCAAAGUUUCUAUACCUGUGGGAAAUGAAAUGUACAUCUUCAUUUCUCCUCUAGUUUUCUGGUAACUUAUUGGACCAAACACACACACACACCCCAAGGACAAAUAUUUCUCAGCUCUGACACAGUGCAAGCACAAAUAAAGGAAAAGGAACAUUUUCCUAAAUAUAGCUAAAUCCACACAGGUUCCAUUGCUCUUAAUAGAGGUGGUUCUGCAUGUGAUUAUGCAGAGAGAAGUGGUUUUCCCAUUGUGCAUCCUCAGGGUUUCAGACUUUCCAACUAGAGCAUUUGAAAUAAUAAAAUUAAUCUAUUGCUGAUGGAUACUUUUCAGUGACACAAAAGAUCUGGCAGUAACUUUGAAAUUACAUCUUUACAAUCAUAGGUCAGAGAAAAUUAUCACUAUUUUUUCUUUGUUGCUUAUACUUUGGUGUCAUGUAGAAACCAUUGCCUAACCCAAGGUCAUGAAGAUUUAUGCCUAUGUUCUCUUCUAUGAUUUUUAUAGUUUUACCUCAUAUUUAGGAGUUUGGUCAAUUUUGAGUUAAUUUUUGUAUAUUGAUAUGAGAUAGGGCUUUAAAUUCAUUCUUUUACAUGUGGAUAAUCAUUUUCCCCAGCACCAGUUAUUGAAAAUACUGUCCUUUCCCCAUUGAAUUAUUCAACACCCUUGUCAAAAAUCAAUUAACUGUUAGGGUUUAGUUCUGGACUCUCAGUUCCAUUCCAUUGAUCUAUAGGUCUAUCCUUAUUCCAGUACCAGUAUUUUUCUUCUCAGUAAUACACACACACAUUCACAAAUAAGUGUAUAUUUAUAUAAACAUACAUAAUUUCUUUUAAUGAGUGACUUCUAAUUAACGUCAUAAAUUCAAAAAUGUGUGUAUGUAUGUAUGUACCUAUUUGUACAAAGCUUGGGGACUUAAUAAAAUAACUUUUUUUUUAAUAAAAUAACUUUUAAUGCUCUUUCAACUCUGUUAGGUAAAAUACGACUCUAACAAUUUUGUGUAUGGUUUUAGAUUAACAGGAUUCCAUCUGCUGCCAGAUGUACUUGUUCAGUAACAAGUACCAAAACUGUAUUCUCACUACAUUUGACCAUUGAUUUUGCAAUUGGUGCUCAUGGGUUUAAAGUUUAUUGUGAAGGUAAGAGAUGGUAAUGUGAAAGGACCAUUGCCCAGUUUAAUGUAGUUAAACCAAAAUUCUCCAGGGUGGAAAUGGAAGAAGAACCAUCAGGAAGGAAGAUACAGUUCAUCUUCUUAUCUUAAAUCUUACCCUAAGAUUCACCUUCUUAUUAAUUAUUAAUAUAUAAUAAGAUGUUAGAAUUAGUGGGCUUUAAUGUUUUAUCACAGUGUGCCUAAACAGAGGAAAAUCUUUCUUAGGAGAUGAUACUAUGAAAUCACUAUAGACCUGGAGAUUAACAAAAGGAAAUGAAAUGUGAGAGGUAACAACAUGAAACAAGGCCUGAUUUGAUAUUCAGACUCCACCUUCCUCUGUGCUCUACCUCUCAGCCAGAAAAUAAACUAGUAAUCUGUCUUCUUUGCAAGUUUAGAACCAAGAGGGAAAAUGUCCAAUAAGAGACAAGAGUUGAUAUCUUCCAUUCCAAACCAGCCCUUUCAGUCCCACAGAGUCAUGAUCAUUUAACACAGAGAAGAAUAUUGAAAAGCUCUUGAGACAGGUUUUUAUUUGGAAGUUUGGUACAAAGUCAUAUAGCAUCAAAACAUGACCUAAAUUGAUUGAUUUAUAAUCUUUAUUUAUCCCACGUAAUGUGGGUACUCCUAUGUUUUACCAUGGAAAUAUUGUUUGAUAAUGGGGUGGUACCCUAGGUUGUGCUGAGGGUAUUAAAAACAUACAGAAUCUGCAUUCUUGUAUUUUUAAGAUGUGAAAAAAUUCUUAUGGCAAAAAUAACCUAUUCUGAGGAUUUCAGAUACAGAUCAUGGACUUGUAAUUUCUUCUCUAUGUGAUUUGACAAUAAAUUUUUCAGUUUAUUCUUCAUUUCAAGAAAAGCCCCUUCCUUACCCAUAGGAAUAUCAUACCAGAUUUCAACUCACCUCCCCAGGACUAUAUUACCAGAAUGUAUCACAUCAGAACUGAUAUCGUUUUAAGAAACACACAAAUAUAACAGAAGGGUGGUUAUUUUCUAAACCACAUAAUUCAAAACAUGAGGGCUUUUUUUUUUUUUGGCUUAAAUAACACAAUUUAAUAUUCUCACAUUUGUGGCUAGAAUUCCCAAAUCAGGAUGUUAGCUGAUGGAGUUCCUGGCAAGAGCUCUGUCUCUGGCUUACAGAUGGUUGCCUUCUCACUGUGUCUUCACAUGGUGGAGAAACUCAUAGGUCUCUUCCUUUUCUUUUAAGGGCACCAGUCCUUUUGGAUUAAAGCCCCUCCCUUAUGACCUCACUUAACAUUUAUUAGCUUCUUACCCGCCCUCUAUCCAAAUAUAGUCACAGUGGGGUUAAGGGCUUCAACAAGUAAAUUUUUUCUUGAAUCCUGUACCUUUGUAGUAAGUUUGAAAUUGAGAAGCACGAGUUUUCCAACUUGGUUAUCAAUUUUCAGGAUUGCUCAUCUGGGUCUCUCAUUUCUAUAUGGAUUUUAGGAUCAGUUUAUCAAUCUCUACAAAAGCCAACUGUGCUUUAGUAGAGAUUACAUUGAAUGUGUGGAUCAGUUUGGGGAAUAUUGUCAUCUUAACAACAUUAAGUCUUACAAUCCAUGAACAUAGAUGCCUUUCUAUUUAUUUAAGUCUUCUUUAAUUUCUUUGAGUGAUGUAAAGUGUUGUGUUUGCAAGCCUUCCACUUCUUGUGUUAAAUUUGUAAGUAUUUUUUUGAUGUUAUACAUGGUAUUAUACAUGGGAUAAUUUUCUUAAUUGCAUUUUCAGAUUGUUCACUGUAACUGUAUAAAAAUAGUUAAUUUAAAAAUAAAUAAAAUAAAAAUAGUUAAUUUUUG
rnacentral:lncRNA from 1 species